CCUACGUGAGGCAGCAGUGAGGAAUAUUGGUCAAUGGACGAGAGUCUGAACCAGCCAAGUAGCGUGAAGGAUGACUGCCCUAUGGGUUGUAAACUUCUUUUAUAUGGGAAUAAAAUGUUCCACGUGUGGGAUUUUGUAUGUACCAUAUGAAUAAGGAUCGGCUAACUCCGUGCCAGCAGCCGCGGUAAUACGGAGGAUCCGAGCGUUAUCCGGAUUUAUUGGGUUUAAAGGGAGCGUAGGGGGAUUGUUAAGUCAGUUGUGAAAGUUUGCGGCUCAACCGUAAAAUUGCAGUUGAAACUGGCAGUCUUGAGUACAGUAGAGGUGGGCGGAAUUCGUGGUGUAGCGGUGCAAUGCUUAGAUAUCACGAAGAACUCCGAUUGCGAAGGCAGCUCACUGGACUGCAACUGACACUGAGGCUCGAAAGUGUGGGUAUCAAACAGGAUUAGAUACCCCAGUAGUC
rnacentral:rRNA from 1 species